AUACGUAGGGUGCGAGCGUUAAUCGGAAUUACUGGGCGUAAAGCGUGCGCAGGCGGCUUUAUAAGCCAGAUGUGAAAUCCCCGGGCUCAACCUGGGAACUGCAUUUGGAACUGUAAGGCUAGAGUACGGCAGAGGGGGGUAGAAUUCCACGUGUAGCAGUGAAAUGCGUAGAUAUGUGGAGGAAUACCGAUGGCGAAGGCAGCCCCCUGGGUCGAUACUGACGCUCAUGCACGAAAGCGUGGGGAGCAAACAGGAUUAGAAACCAUAGUAGUCC
rnacentral:rRNA from 1 species